rnacentral:siRNA from 1 species
UGCAUCGCCAUUUCUAUUUUAU